AUUAUGGGACCUAUGGGGGCAUUAUGGGAUCAUUAUGGGACCUGUGGGGGCAUUAUGGGACCUAUGGGGGCAUUAUGGGACCUAUGGGGGCAUUAUGGGAUCGUUAUGGGACCUGUGGGGGCAUUGUGGGACCUACGGGGGCAUUAUGGGACCUAUGGGGGCAUUAUGGGAUCGUUAUGGGAUCUAUAGGGGCAGUGUGGGACCUACAGGGGCACUAUGGGACCUAUGGGGGCACUAUGGGAUCGUUAUGGGAUCUGUAGGGGCAGUGUGGGGCCUGUAGGGGCACUAUGGGACCUAUAGGGGCACUGCAGGACCUAUGGGGGCAUUAUGGGACCAUUAUGGGACUUAUAGGGGCACUAUGGGAGCUAUGGGGGAAGUGUGAGACCAUUAUGGGAUGUAUAGGUGCCAUUGGGUGCCAUUGGGUUCCACUGGGUUCCUUUGGGUGUUCCAUUGGGUGCCAUUGGGUUCCCUUGGAGUUCCACUGGGUUCCAUUGGGUUCCAUUGGAGUUCCAUUGGGUUCCACUGGGUGCCAUUGGGUUCCACUGGGUUCCAUUAAGUUCCAUUGGGUGCCAUUGGGUUCCAUUGGAGUUCCAUUGGGUUCCAUUGGGUUCCAUUAGGUUCCAUUGGUUUCCAUUGGGUUCCAUUAAGUUCCAUUGGUUUCCAUUGGGUGCCAUUGGGUUCCAUUGGCUUCCAUUGGGUGCCUUUGGGUGCCAUUGGCUUCCAUUGGGUGCCAUUGGGUUCCAUUGGGUGCCAUUGUGUGCAAUUGGGUUCCAUUGGCUGCCAUUGGUUUCGAUUGGUUUCCAUUGGUUGCCAUUGGGUGCCAUUGGGUGCCAUUGGGUGCCAUUGUGUUCCACUGGUUUCCAUUGGGUGCAAUUGGGUUCCAUUGGGUUCCAUUGGGUGCCAUUGGCUGCCAUUGGCUGCCAUUGGCUGCCAUUGUCUUCCAUUGGGUUCCUUUGGGUGUUCCAUUGGGUGACACUGGGUGACACUGGGUGACACUGGGUGCCCCCGCAGGCAUCAAUGACCUCAUCCACUUCGACUUCCUGGACCCCCCACCCCACGAGGCUCUGCUGUUGGCACUGGAGCAGCUCUACGCCCUCGGGGCCCUCAACCACCUCGGGGAGCUCACCACGGUACUGGGAGCACUGGGACGGACUGGGGUGGGACUGGGAUGGGUCUGGGAGGGACUGGGAUGGGACUGGAAUUGACUGGUGUGGGACCGGGGUGGGACUGGGAAGGACUGGGA
rnacentral:lncRNA from 1 species